GUCUACGGCCAUACCACCCUGAACACACCCGAUCUCAUCUGAUCUUGGAAGCUAAGCACGGUCAGGCCUGGUUAGUACUUGGAUGGGAGUCUGCCUGGGAAUACCGGGUGCCAUAGGCU
rnacentral:rRNA from 1 species